ensembl:snoRNA
GUUUGAGUGAGAAAUGAAGAUAGAAAUGAUCUUACUAUUAAAAUGAAGAUAUGAGAUCCAACUCUGAUCUCACUCUGAG